GGACUUUGGAAAAGUUUUUUUUGUUUGUUGUUUUUGUUUUUGUUUUUUAUACUGGGAGGGUCUUCACUGAAUCCUCAAUAAAAAACAUGGCCUUGAGAUGAAUUGGCAAAGUAGAGUAAAAAUAAAAAAAAAAAAUCAGAUAUUGCUUACUGUUUUUGUCUGCUAGUCUAAUCAAGGAUAGUUUAUCCAGUUUGUAGAGUAUUAACCUUCCUCUGACUUCUUCUCCUUCCCUCUUCUUGCUGUCACCCCAAAUUCUCAGGAACAUCUGUCAGCUUCACAGCUCAUUAGCAGCCCUAGUAGAGGGCGAGCAGUUGAGUGGGUCUAGGAUGAAGUCAGCAUUUGAACAAUGAAAUCAACUUUCAGGAAUCAGGAUUUGCUACGACUUGUGUGGGCUUUUUUCUUCUUGCUUGUCAAAGUCGGUUGUCAAAUGUUUCUUUCCUUCUAAAUUUGUUCUCUUCGUAUUAAAAUCCUAUCUAGUAUCAUCUUCGUAGUUAAGCUUCUGCAGAUAUUUUUCUUCGUAUAUCUUUCCUCCCCAACAUCUUUCUCUGGGAGCCCCUGCCUAAGGCAUGCUCCAAAACAGUAGAAAGUUUUUGCCAUUUUAGAAAAUUCUGUGAAUCUUCUCACACGAGUUUGAUGUUGUAGAAAUUGCGAGGCUUUAGAGUUUGAGGGUUCAGACUCUGGUUCUGUUACUUACUGAGUCACCUUGGACAAGAUCUUUCUCUUCUUUAGAACUUGACUUUAGACCAAUUGAAGGUCUUGGAUUAGAUUUCCUAUGGCUCCUUUCUAGCUCUAAGCUCUAGGUUGAUCACAAAUUAGUUCCAUUGGAUGAAAUAAAACAAAUUAGAACAUUAAUCUGCAGGGUUAGGGUAUUAGCUAGGGAAUGGCAUGUUUAACUGCCCAUUCAGAGGUUCUGGCAACUCAAAAACAUCUUAAAUACUCCAUUGCUUCAGAAAUGGUGGGCAGCUAUUCCUGGAAAUAUACUCUGAGGGCAAUGGAAGCACGACAGAUUGUCACAAAGUACGACAUCAAAUAGUAACAGAGAAUACCAAUAGAACAUUAUUGAAUGGAUUUAGUUACUCAAGAAGAAAGACUAUUAAGCCGGAAUGAUAGAGGGAAAUUUGGCCAAAAAUCUAAAGAUCUCUUCUCGAUAAUGGUCUGCUUGGUUUUUAGAAGCAGAUUUUCUUCAGGAUCAGAAACAGAACAGUUGGCAAGAAAACUUUUGGCAAAGAGAUGUACAGCAAAGCAACUAAGCUCUUGCUGAUCCAAGCUGGGGGCAUGCAGAGGUAGGAGGAUAUACCUGCCUGGGAGGGAAGCUGGGAGAAAACGUUGACAUCUCAGAGAACCAGAAAAGUGCAGACAGCAAAUGAGUGGAAUCUGGAUUCCAGGACCUUCUCCAGUGGGUACAGAAAUGGACAACACGGCACAAUCAGGAAGAUUAGAGAUAAGAGUCAUGAUGGCAACUACAGACUUAGAGUCAUUUUAAUGACUUAGUUAACCCUUCUCCCUUUAGGGAAAUUGAGGCCCAUAGUACAGAAGUGAUCAAGGUUAUGUGAGUAAUCUAGGAGUAAUUUCUUAGUCGAGAAGUUAAGCAUGGUAGUAAGUUAAUGAGGAAGAUAUUGGAACUCUUCUCUAUGGAAAUCUUUAAAAAUUCUUUCCUUUUCUGGGAUACUUCUAUGUAUCCUCAGGUCAAAAAGGACUAGGUAUGUAUCUACAUAUAUUUGUAUAAAUGAUUACAGAUUAUACUGUAAUUAUUCAUAAAUGUUUUUAUAUAUCUAUAUAUGUAAAAGAUAUAGAUUUAUAUCUCUAUAUUUAUUCAUCUGAUUACAUAUACAUUUUUCUUUAAGUCUAUUUAUCCAUCUAUCUCUCCAGCUCUCUCAAAACUAGGUAUGACUAAGCAACCAGCCUCAUCACAGCUUUGAUGUUACUAAAAUAUAUUCUGAAUUCCCUUCUCAUGUUAUUCUGAAGUUACAUUUCCUAGACUUUUUUCUAUAGACUGAGUCAUCUAGCAUUUAUUAAGCACCUAUUCUGUACCCAGCCUUGUGCUAAGCACUAAGAACACAAAGAAAGGCAGAAAACAGUUCCUGUUCUCAAGAUGCCCACUGUCCAAUGGAGGAGACAUAUUAAAAAAAGACUCCUUUUUCUCCCUCUCUCCCACCACCCAAAAGGGGUAAUAGAUUCUGUUGCUCUUCAUGGUUCACAGGCUGUAUCUUUAAGAAUAAAAUCUUCAAGAUAAAUAUAAACUAAUUAAAGCCCUAUUAGGAAUAAUGGAGACUCCGAAAUUGAGUCUUUCUCCUCCCUCAUCCCUUUACUACAUAAUGGUAAGCAAUUGUACAUUUUUCUAACAGAAAAGACUUAAAAGUAAUUAGGGGUCACAAGAACUGAUGCAGAGUAAAGUGAGCAGAACCAGGAGAACAUUAUACACAACCACAGCAACAACGGACUAUGGUCAACUAUGACAGAUUUAAUUCUUCUCAGCAACACAGUAAUCUAGGGCAAUUCCAAAUUGAUGGAAAAUGCCAUCCACAUCCUAAGAAAGCCAUGGAGACUGAAUGCAGACGGAAGCAUACUAUUUUUAGUGUUUUUUCUUUCUUGUGAUUUUCCUUUCAUUCUUCUUUCCCAACAUGACUAAUCUGUUUAACAUGAUUGAACAGGAAUAACCUAUAUCAGAUUGCUUGUUGUCUUGAGGAGGGGGAAGGGAAGGGAGGGAAAAAAUUCAAAAUCUUAAAAAAAAAAAAAGGGAGGGAAAACAUUCAAAAUCUUAAAAAAAAAAAAGGCUGAAACCCUUUGAUCCAGCAGUGUUUCGACUGAACUUUUAUCCUAAAGAGGUCAUAAAAGAGAGAAAGGAACCCACCCACCUGUGAAGAAAUGUUUGUGGCAGCCCUUUUUGUAGUGGCAAGAAACUGGAAACUGAAGGGAUGCCCAUCAGUUUGAGAAUGGCUGAAUAAGUUAUGGUAUAUGAAUGUUAUGGAAUAUUAUUGUUCUAUAAGAAACUAUCAGCAGGAUGAUUUCAGAGAGUCUGGAGAGACCUACAAGAAGUGAUGCUGAGUGAAGUGAGCAGGACUAGGAGAACAUUGUACAUGGUACUAGCAAUAUUAUAUGACGAUCAGUUCUGAUGGAUGUGAUUCUUCUCAAUAAUGAAAUGAUUCAGGCCAAUUCCAAUGAUCUUAUGAAGAGAGCCAUUUGCAUCCAGAGAGAGGAUUAUGGGGACUGAGUGUGGAUCACAACAGAGUAUUUUCACUUUUUUGUUGUUGUUUGCUUACAUUUUGCUUUCUUUCUCAUUCCUCCCCCCCCCCUUUUAGUCUGAUAUUUCCUGUGCAGCAUGAUAAUUGUGGAAAUAUGUAUAGAAGAAUUGCAUGUUUAACAUGUAUUGAAUUGACCUGAGUUCAAAUCUGGUCUCAGACACUUAAUACUUCCUAGUUAUAUGCCCUCGGCAAGUCACUUAACCCCAAUUGCCUCAGAGAAAAGAAAAAAAAAUAUAUUUAAGGCUCAGAAAGGGCCACUGUGCUAUUUGAACAAAGAAAGAACUUAGAAAGUAUCAAGCCCUGUAGUAGAAGGGUCCAGCAACAGAUUCUUCUAGUUAGUUGUAACUGAUCAUCUCUCUUGUCCUAUUAGGAAAAGGUAUGAUAAUACUUUGGCUGAAUCAAUAGACUAUCAUAUGUCUGAUCAAUUCUUGGGAGAUGUCAGAAAUCAGAUGGUUUCCAGCCUUUAUGUGUGGCCUUUAUGGCUUAUGGUCAUAGCGAAAGCCUUUAAAUCAGAAUAUCAUAUAAGAGAGAUUUAUGGGUGACACGAUUCAGUUUGGGAGAGAGAUUUAUGUUUGAAUGGAGGAAGAGAAAUAGGGCAGGGGAGUCCUUUCCAACUUCGAUGAGGUUCAAAGUGGGAGGUUGGACAAGGUUAGUAUUUUAAAGGAAAGAGUAAUAAGAGUGGGAUGUAAAAACCAGUUAUUUUACAGGUCAUGUUGGGGUGUGUGUGUUAAGGAUUUAUAGCAAUGGUGCAGAAAGGGUAGGAGGCCAGUACUUAGGAAGAAAUUCACUAGAAGAAAUUACUGACAGCAGAGAAAGAUUCAGAGUGACAUUAGGUCAUAAGAACAGAGACUGACAAUUCAAAGACAGGAGCUGGGAAGGGCCACGGAAAAUGGGCAACGAUCUUAGUUCCUUAUGGUAGCAAUUUAGGUGUUAUUUCCUUCUAGACACUUUACCUUCAGGGUCAGAUGCCCCUCGCACUGACAAUAUGGUCGUAUAAAGGAAGAUGCAUUUGUUAUCACAACAGCUAUCAGAUGAGCCACAAAUAGUUUCUACCAUGAAGAGGCUUUAAAAAAAAUGCCAGCGAUGUGGUCCAGAGGAAAACGAACCAGAUUUGAACCCCAAAGUCAUGAGUUUAAAUACCAACUCUUUUUUAUGUUACCCAAAGUCGCUUCAUCCUGUUUGCCUCAGUUUCCUCAUGUUAAAUGAGCUGGAGAAGGAAAUGCCAAAAAAAAAAACCCCAAACGAGGGGGCAAAAACUUGAACAUGACUUAAAAUGACAAUAACAACAUGGCCAUUGUAAUCUUGCAGCAUUCUGCCUCUUCAUUGUUGGUUUUCCCACAGAUGCUGUUGGGUCAUCAUGUAUAUUUUAUUUAUGGUUGGCUUCACUUUAUAUCCGUUGAUCUAAUUUUUUCCUCUGCUUUUCUUUCUUUUUUAAAAAAAAUCAUAUUUAAUUUUUUCUUAGAGCGAAGAAGAAAGGUUCCACUGAAUUCACCGAUCGCCUUUUGUUUGACUGUUCUCCAAUUAACGGCAUGAACGAUAUUUCAGUUCAAGAAAAGUGCUGCUCUCCUCAUCGGGAUGCCUGUGGUUGAAACCCCUGAGUUAAAGGGUAGGACAUUUCACUCGUUUCCUUCGCAUCAUUCCGAAUUACUAUCUGGAAAGAUUAGGUCAGUCCCCAUCGCCACAAAUAGCACAUUAUACAUGAUAUGUGCUUUGUACAUGCUGUGCUUCCAACUCCGGUGAUUCCUGCUCGGUGAUCUUUGCCCGUUUUCUGGGAGCGAGACAAGACUUCAGAGUUAUCGUGUCAUUCUCCACCCCGCCUCCGAAUCAGGGAUUUAUGGUCAACAGUUUCCAAUUCUUUUCAGAGAUGUCUAUUCACAUCACUCGGCCAACCUACUAGAUUUUAAUUUGGUUAAAAUUUGGGUCAGUCAAAAAAAGCACUAUCACAGAAUUUGCUUUCCUUAUGCUGUCCUUCCAGGGAAGAAUAAAAGUGGCAUCAAGGGGGAACUGACUCAGUUUAUUUUUUUAAAAAGUGACUUCACAGAAAGAUGUGAAAUUUUUAUUAAAAAGUUUAGUUUCUCUUUUUGUCUGUCAGCAUCCAUUCUCGUGCAAAGCCGUUGCGUGGGUCAGACAUCGGAAUGAAAACUGGCGCGGACAAAGGGCCAGCCAGGACACGGGACACCGGAAGACUCGCAAAGGCUCCCUGGGCCGUUGGAGCGGCUCAUCCGCGGCUCACAGCACCGGCCGCUCCGUCUUGCGUCCGCUUUUCCUCGCGUGCUUCAGGGACGCUUGCGGUGGAACCUUCGCCCUGGGGCCUUUAGUGAGAUUUGCGGCAGGGAUUUUUUCAGGCUAAAUGAAAAGCCCGUAAAAUUUAAAGCUACGGUUUGUUGUGACCCCCUUAGCUUUUUGCUUUGUUUUUUACGGUAUAUUUUUUAGCCGCGCCUGGUUGCGUUUUGGCGUGUGGGAUUUACGCUUGAGCGUCCAUCCGCAAAUCUGGGCGGGGGGGGGGGGGAGGUCACUGUCCGCAGCCCGACCCCGUGGCACCGCCCCCCUGAUUUGCAUCCGACGGAGACUUCCAGUGGCAGAAAAUAAGUCAGUUUCCUUGGGGCAAUGACGUCACGAGAGCCUCAGGUGGCGGGCCUGCUGCCUGAUCCCGGCCUCCCCCCUCCCCCCCCCCCCAGGGCGCUCGUCUCCCGGGGGCGCUGACGCCCCCUUCCGGUGGGCCCCGGGGCGGGCCGAGAGCGAGCCCCUCGAUCCCCAGGUCUGUGUCCACUGCGGAGUUUUAGGUCACUUUUCACGCGCAGGGAACGGAACGUAUACAGGAAGCGCCCAACAGAGACGGCGGCCUUCCCUGCGCUCCGAGGGGCGCCCCGCAAGGCCGAGGGACCGCCUGAGAGCGUGUCACGCGGGACCCGAACGUGGGAGGGGGGCGGGACAGUCUCGGGCUGCUCUGCCUCUAUUUUCCCUUCUGUAAAAUGGGGCCGACCGGGUGCCUUUAGGGUCAAAGGCGAUGGAGAACAAAGAAAUCGCUUCUAGAACUUGGAAGCGCCCUGUAAGCCCUUGCCCCCGUCACACUAGGCAGAGCGGUUAGGAAAGACCCGGUCGGGGCAGCCCCGCCCCGCUCCCACACUCCAGACCCGCGCUCCCCGGGUCAAAGCCUUUGACCUUGAUGUGGCCGCGGGACCCGGGGAGCUCCGGCUCGCGUCCAGCGGCUCCCCGGCCCGGCCCGGCCCUUCGGCCCCGGCCCGGCCCAUUCCCGCUUGUCCCCGCGGGCUCGUGGCCCCGCGUGGCGCGGGACUCCGGCUGCGGCGCUCGCGCGCGCUCGAGGAAGUGCGUCCCUCCUCGCUUGCCUUAUGCCCGGCACGCAGCGGACCGCACCACUGCGCGCUGGCACGGAGGGGGAGGCUCACGUGCGGCUUCCGAUCCCAGCGGGCGGCGGCGGCUCCAGGAACCCUCCGGCCCGCGAACCGGACCCGGCCCGCUCGGUGCUUCCCCGAGAUCGGGAGCAGAGCGCAGGACAGGGGUCCUCGGGGGGCGGGCGGCCGAGGUAGUAUCCCCCGUGGUCCUUCUCCCCUUUCAGUUUCCCCGGGCCCAGCGGAGAUGGGGUGGUCCGCGGGGGAGGGGAGGCCCCAGAGCGGCGGCGCGUGCCCGCCGCGGCGUCUCGCGAACUGACGGCUCCCGGGGGGUGGGGGUCCGGGACGGAGAGCGAGCCCCGGAGAGGCGUGGCUAGGGGCGAAGGCGGGGCGGGGGCGGGGCGGGGCGCGAGCGCGAGGGAGCGCGCGCGGGCCGCGUGAGACCGAGAGGGGAGGGAGGGAGGCGGAGGCAGAGGCAGGGCCAGGCUGGGCUGCCGGCGGCUCCCAGGGACAGUGCGGCGUCGCCGGGCUCCGAGCUCCCCGCGCCUCCGCCGAGCCUUUGCUAAACUUUCUCCCGGGCCCCGCGCGGCGGCUGCGGUUGCUGCGGUUGCUGCGGUUGCUGCGGCUGGGGGGCGGCUGGGCGCUCGGACACGGGCAGCAGCUGCCGCGGGCGUCGCGCCCUCCCGCAGCCGCCUUCUCCUCCGGCUCCGCCGCCGCCUCACCUGCCGCCGCUGCCCGCGCCCUCCGGGCACGCCCGCGGCCCCCGCACCGCAGUCCGCUCCGCCCCGCCGCCCGCAACUCGGACUGGAGCGGCCGCGGCGGCGGAGCAGCGCCUGCUCCCCCUGCCCUCCCCGAGCGGCCGCGGCGCCCGUCGUGCCGUCGCCGCUGUCACCGCCGCGUCCCAGGGACCCGGGCCCAGAUCCAGGGGCGUCCGGGGGGCGAGGGGACAGGACCGGAGGAGCCUUCGGGGGAGCGCCUCGGUCGCGGUGGGGGCUUCAGCGAUAAUAAAUGAUAGAGGAUACGAUGACUUUGCUGUCUCUGCUGGGUCGCAUCAUGCGCUACUUCUUGCUGAGACCGGAGACGCUCUUCCUGCUCUGCAUCAGCCUGGCCCUGUGGAGUUACUUCUUCCACACGGACGAGGUGAAGACCAUCGUCAAGUCCAGCCGCGACGCCGUGAAGAUGGUCAAGGGCAAGGUGGCCGAGAUCAUGCAGAACGAGCGCCUCGGGGGGCUGGACGUGCUCGAGGCCGAGUUCUCCAAGACCUGGGAGUUCAAGAGCCACAACGUGGCCGUCUACUCCAUCCAGGGCCGGCGCGACCACAUGGAGGACCGCUUCCAAGUGCUGCC
rnacentral:lncRNA from 1 species